UGUCAUGGGAACUUCUCUGAAGUUCAGAGAGGAAGAGACAGUGUAAAUUGUAUCUACUUUCCAUUUUCAGAUUUUUACAUAUGUUUUCAGGCAUAAGGAGACAACGAGGUUUCAUAGAAAUGUUUUAGAUGUUUUGUAAAUUGUCGACUAAGCUCUCACAUUCUCUCUUUAUUGGCUUAGGUUUGUUGGGUGGGUUGUGAUUUUUGUGGGAUUUUUUUUCUGUAAAUCCUAUAACCUGUGGAGAUAUUUUAAUAAGCACUUUGAGCAUAUUCUUACCUAACGCUUCCUUUAUUCUGAAUGAAGUUGUUUUGCACAGUAAAUAGCAUAGUAAGAAAAUAAAGAGAACUGCUAUUUCGUAUCUGUUAUGCCUCUUUUCAUUGAGAAGCAAACCUGAGAUUGGAGUAGCAUUUAAAACUCAACUGGAAUACUUUAAUAUUCAUUUUUAAAGGUUUGUUUGGUUGGUGGUUAUUUAUUUAUUUUUUUACAAAAUACUUCACUGGGAAAAAUUGUAUGUCUGCAGUGGGGGCAGGGGACAGAACAAUAGAAAACCCAAGCUCUGGCUCUGUAUUCCAAGAACAAUGUGAAUCAAUGAGAUUACAAAGGCAAUAUUCAAUAGCAGGAAAUUAGGAGUAGUUUAAGGUUAGCAUGUAUAUACACUGGAGUCCCACCCCACCCCUCAAUCUUAAAAUGAAAUUCCAGAAAGACUCAACAGAAGUACUUUAGAAAGCAGAUAUAUUAUUGAGAUGAAGCCUCUUGGUCUUUUAAAUUCAGAGCGACUGGUGUAGUUCUUGCCUAUACAGAAAUCAGCAGAUUAUUCUUUACUUUCUUUAGAUCACAAUCCCAGAAGCUUUGUUUUGUUAACCUAGUUCCUCAGAAUAUUCAUAUAAUUAGGUAACAUCAUUCAAACCUAAAAAAAAAUGGAAAGAGUGCUGUUUUUCCCCUCAAGCUACAAACUAACAGGGGCAUUUGGCAGCAUUCUAGCUACCUUUGACUUUUCUUCAGCCAAAGGAAAUAUCAAAGACCUGGUUGCCUGGAGAAGAAUAAAGUUAUACUAUUCAUAUUUGGAAGGCAGCAUUCAGUUUCCAUGACCGUCAGUGGCUUCAGUAACUCUGUGUCCUAUGCCACUCAGAGAUAGCUCGGAUUGCCUGUCAGGAGGCGAUUGGGCAGCCUUGCAAACUCAGAAUGACUUCUCAAAUCCAGAUAGGUCUUCCCAGCGAUGAGCUUUCCUCUGCGCUGAAGCCCUGGGAGUCAUGUCAGCCCAAGAUUCAAUUUUGAGGAGUUUUCACCUAGAGGAAUACAAGAUCUUCAGUCCAAACAACCGUUUCUGGGAAGGUAGAUGAUGGGGGUGGCCCAACAGGGAGCAUAACAAGGUGAACAUUUCAGGAAGAAGGAGCUGGGGACAUGGUGGUUAGCAAGACAGAUGUGGUCACUGACUUCAAGGAGUUUACAAUCUAAUGGAGGACAUGGACACUAAACAAAUAUUUCACAAAUAAUUGGCUGUUUACAAGUAAAUAAUAUAUGAUAAUUUCUUUGAUAUUUAUUGCAAGGAAAAUAUUUUUUCAGAUGAGUGUAUACGUUUUUGCUUUUCAAGCGAGGAAAAUAUUGUCGGCUAUUAUUAUUAUUAUUAUUUUCUGUCUUGACUGUAAGGAAGUUAGAAAUAAAUUUUAUGUUA